GGAGAGGUGGCCGAGUGGUCGAAGGCGCACGCCUGGAAAGUGUGUAGGCGGGAUACCGUCUCGAGGGUUCGAAUCCCUCUCUCUCCGCCA
rnacentral:tRNA from 1 species